GCGUAUGCGGCGUGCUUACCAUGCAGUCGAACGGUGAAGCAGAGCUUGCUCUGUGGAUCAGUGGCGAACGGGUGAGUAACACGUGAGCAAUCUGCCCCUGACUCUGGGAUAAGCGCUGGAAACGGCGUCUAAUACCGGAUACGAGCUGCGACCGCAUGGUCAGUAGCUGGAAAGAAUUUCGGUCAGGGAUGAGCUCGCGGCCUAUCAGCUUGUUGGUGAGGUAAUGGCUCACCAAGGCGUCGACGGGUAGCCGGCCUGAGAGGGUGACCGGCCACACUGGGACUGAGACACGGCCCAGACUCCUACGGGAGGCAGCAGUGGGGAAUAUUGCACAAUGGGGCGCAAGCCUGAUGCAGCAACGCCGCGUGAGGGAUGACGGCCUUCGGGUUGUAAACCUCUUUUAGCAGGGAAGAAGCGAAAGUGACGGUACCUGCAGAAAAAGCGCCGGCUAACUACGUGCCAGCAGCCGCGGUAAUACGUAGGGCGCAAGCGUUAUCCGGAAUUAUUGGGCGUAAAGAGCUCGUAGGCGGUCUGUCGCGUCUGCUGUGAAAACCCGAGGCUCAACCUCGGGCCUGCAGUGGGUACGGGCAGACUAGAGUGCGGUAGGGGAGAUUGGAAUUCCUGGUGUAGCGGUGGAAUGCGCAGAUAUCAGGAGGAACACCGAUGGCGAAGGCAGAUCUCUGGGCCGUAACUGACGCUGAGGAGCGAAAGGGUGGGGAGCAAACAGGCUUAGAUACCCUGGUAGUCCACCCCGUAAACGUUGGGAACUAGUUGUGGGGUCCAUUCCACGGAUUCCGUGACGCAGCUAACGCAUUAAGUUCCCCGCCUGGGGAGUACGGCCGCAAGGCUAAAACUCAAAGGAAUUGACGGGGACCCGCACAAGCGGCGGAGCAUGCGGAUUAAUUCGAUGCAACGCGAAGAACCUUACCAAGGCUUGACAUAUAGAGGAAACGUCUGGAAACAGUCGCCCCGCAAGGUCUCUAUACAGGUGGUGCAUGGUUGUCGUCAGCUCGUGUCGUGAGAUGUUGGGUUAAGUCCCGCAACGAGCGCAACCCUCGUUCUAUGUUGCCAGCACGUAAUGGUGGGAACUCAUGGGAUACUGCCGGGGUCAACUCGGAGGAAGGUGGGGAUGACGUCAAAUCAUCAUGCCCCUUAUGUCUUGGGCUUCACGCAUGCUACAAUGGCCGGUACAAAGGGCUGCAAUACCGUGAGGUGGAGCGAAUCCCAAAAAGCCGGUCCCAGUUCGGAUUGAGGUCUGCAACUCGACCUCAUGAAGUCGGAGUCGCUAGUAAUCGCAGAUCAGCAACGCUGCGGUGAAUACGUUCCCGGGUCUUGUACACACCGCCCGUCAAGUCAUGAAAGUCGGUAACACCUGAAGCCGGUGGCCCAACCCUUGUGGAGGGAGCCGUCGAAGGUGAUCGAUGCGUAUUGGUCCUCUCAGAGGGGCU
rnacentral:rRNA from 1 species